AGGUUUCCAAGCAGAGGAAUAAUUAUUGCCACCACUUGAGGCCAUGUCACAUUACUAUUUUUAGUUGCAUUUUCAAAAAUAAAAUUCAAAUUAAGAAUGUCAAUGCUGAUUCAGAUUGUUUUUCUAAGGUAGUGAAAAAGUUCCAAGGCUAUUGAAGGAAAGUGACUAUUAUUCAAAAAGGAAAGCCAUGAAAGAAUUCAAAAAAUGUUCUAUUGCUGUUUUGUCUUUUUUCCAAUAUACACAUCUUAUAUUUCAGUACCACACUCCCUUUUCAAAGGAUCUGAUCUACUGUGUAAUUAGUACUUGCAUAAGUAAAGCCCAAACCUAUUGUAAUUACAGAUGAUGAAGGGGAAAAGAGAUACAGAAGAUAAAGGCAGAUACAAAUAAUAAUUUCCGCUUGAAAUACUGGCCAAAACUUUCCGGUAUAAUGCACAGUGCAGUGUAAAUUAUAUUCAAAGGUGGUAACUGACAAACUAUUUCAACUUAACCUGAUUUCUUGGGCAA